CCUGGCGUCUGCAGCGCGGUAUUCCGACCUGACCCCCUGGCGCACUCAGAAGUGAAACGCCGUCGCGCCGUGGGUACCUUGGGGCCUCCCCCUGCGAGCGUAGGGAACUGCCAGGC
rnacentral:rRNA from 1 species